GACGAACGCUGGCGGCGUGCUUAACACAUGCAAGUCGAACGGAAAGGCCCUGCUUUUGUGGGGUGCUCGAGUGGCGAACGGGUGAGUAACACGUGAGUAACCUGCCCUUGACUUUGGGAUAACUUCAGGAAACUGGGGCUAAUACCGGAUAGGAGCUCCUGCUGCAUGGUGGGGGUUGGAAAGUUUCGGCGGUUGGGGAUGGACUCGCGGCUUAUCAGCUUGUUGGUGGGGUAGUGGCUUACCAAGGCUUUGACGGGUAGCCGGCCUGAGAGGGUGACCGGCCACAUUGGGACUGAGAUACGGCCCAGACUCCUACGGGAGGCAGCAGUGGGGAAUAUUGCACGAUGGGCGGAAGCAUGAUGCAGCAACGCCGCGUGCUGGAUGACGGCCUUCGGGUUGUAAACAGCUUUCGCCUGUGACGAAGAGUGAGUGACGGUAAUGUGUAAAGAAGCACCGGCUAACUACGUG
rnacentral:rRNA from 1 species